rnacentral:rRNA from 1 species
CAUGCCUAACAGCUAGCCCAAUUAACUAAAAUCAACUAAUACCCAUCAAUAACCCCUAAGACACUGCACCGCACCAAACAAACCAUUUUUCCCCCUCAGUAUAUUCG